rnacentral:rRNA from 2 species
UGGGGAAUAUUGCGCAAUGGGGGAAACCCUGACGCAGCAACGCCGCGUGAAGGAUGAAGGUUUUCGGAUUGUAAACUUCUUUGAUGAGGGACGAACACAAUGACGGUACCUCAAAAACAAGCCACGGCUAACUACGUGCCAGCAGCCGCGGUAAUACGUAGGUGGCAAGCGUUGUCCGGAAUUACUGGGUGUAAAGGGCGUGUAGGCGGGAAGGCAAGUCAGAUGUGAAAUCCCAGGGCUUAACUCUGGAGCUGCAUCUGAAACUGUUUUUCUUGAGUACUGGAGAGGAAAGUGGAAUUCCUAGUGUAGCGGUGAAAUGCGUAGAGAUUAGGAGGAACACCAGUGGCGAAGGCGGCUUUCUGGACAGUAACUGACGCUGAGGCGCGAAAGCGUGGGGAGCAAACAGG